CCGCCGCCGCGCAAGCCCUCCUCCGUCGCUCCGGUCCCGUUCCCCUCAUGCUCCUCUCGUCCCAGAAUCGACCGGGCGCAGUGGGUAGAACUCGGCCCCAUCGGCCGCCGGAGCCGGAGCAGUUGAAGCCGCCGCCGGAGAUGGAGCAGUUCAAGCCGCCGCCUCUCCCUUCCAAAGGAAUCGGGUCGGGACGAACGGAAUCGCACCAUCUUCAUUCUCUCAGGCCGGCCGUCGCCGUCGAAAUUGAGCGCGUCGUCGGGGGAUCUCGGCCCCGUCGGCAGCCGGACACAGGCGCCGCCGCCUCGCCGUCCCUCGUCCGCCCCUGUUCCCGUGUGCUCCGGCCCCGCUGGAAGAGAGGAGCUCGUUCUCCUCGUCCCUGUCGUCCCUGUCGAGCAGCGCACCUCCUCGUCCCGAUUCAACCGUGUGCUCUUCAUCGUCAGCCACCUCCGUCUCCCUGCUGCACCAACCUCCUCCAGGGACAAGCUGCUUUUUCACAGCUCAACAGCUACGGCUGCUUUUCAAAAGCUGCAGCCCAAACAAACAGACC